GACGAACGCUGGCGGCGUGCCUAAUACAUGCAAGUCGAACGAGUGGCGGACGGGUGAGUAACACGUGGGAACCUACCCAUCAGAGGGGGAUAACACUUGGAAACAGGUGCUAAUACCGCAUACUGACGGAGGGACCCGGUGUGCAUUAGCUGUUCGGUGGGGUAAAGGCUCACCUAGGCGACGAUCCCUAGCUGGGCUGAUAGGAUGACCAGCCAAACGGUAACUGAGACACGGUCCAGACUCCUACGGGAGGCAGCAGUGGGGAAUAUUGCACAAUGGGCGCAAGCCUGAUGCAGCCAUGCCGCGUGUAUGAAGAAGGCCUUCGGGUUGUAAAGUACUUUCAGCGGGGAGGCGUUACCCGCAGAAGAAGCACCGGCUAACUCCGUGCCAGCAGCCGCGGUAAUAC
rnacentral:rRNA from 1 species